rnacentral:rRNA from 1 species
GCGUGGAGGACGAAGGCCUUCGGGUCGUAAACUCCUGUCAGUUGGGACGAAAAGUCGUCGAUCAAUAGUCGGCGACCAUGACGGUACCAGCAGAGGAAGCCCCGGCUAACUCCGUGCCAGCAGCCGCGGUAAUACGGAGGGGGCUAGCGUUAUUCGGAAUUAUUGGGCGUAAAGGGCGCGUAGGCGGCUUGGUAGGUCAAAGGUGAAAUCCCUCAGCUCAACUGAGGAACUGCCUUUGAAACCACCUCGCUUGAGGCUGGGAGGGGGUAGCGGAAUUCCCGGUGUAGCGGUGAAAUGCGU